GACGAACGCUGGCGGCGUGCCUAAUACAUGCAAGUAGAACGCUGAAGGAGGAGCUUGCUUCUCUGGAUGAGUUGCGAACGGGUGAGUAACGCGUAGGUAACCUGCCUGGUAGCGGGGGAUAACUAUUGGAAACGAUAGCUAAUACCGCAUAAGAGUAGAUGUUGCAUGACAUUUGCUCAAAAGGUGCAAUUGCAUCACUACCAGAUGGACCUGCGUUGUAUUAGCUAGUUGGUGAGGUAACGGCUCACCAAGGCGACGAUACAUAGCCGACCUGAGAGGGUGAUCGGCCACACUGGGACUGAGACACGGCCCAGACUCCUACGGGAGGCAGCAGUAGGGAAUCUUCGGCAAUGGACGGAAGUCUGACCGAGCAACGCCGCGUGAGUGAAGAAGGUUUUCGGAUCGUAAAGCUCUGUUGUAAGAGAAGAACGAGUGUGAGAGUGGAAAGUUCACACUGUGACGGUAUCUACCAG
rnacentral:rRNA from 1 species